rnacentral:lncRNA from 1 species
GCUAGUCUAAGAAGUAAGUAGAAAUAAACUCAAUUACAUUGAAAAAUGAAUCGGCAGUUGUGUAUAUCAAAACAUGUCCUACUGAGACACAGCUCAGUCUAUAACUUUCUUAUCGACUUCCAAGCAAAAGGAAUUAGCAAAACAAUCAAUUGGUGUGUUAGGAUUUGACGCCUCGAGAUUCAGCCCACAUUGAGCCCACAGCGAGGCUCGCGGCGAAAAACAGAGUCUAACAAGACCAAGAUCACCUGAAACGGA